CAUAUGACACAAUGACAAAGAAAUUAGUGGAUUUAUUGUGUAUCCCGAAAAUUGUCUAUACAGUGGAUUCUUGGGAUGGCGGUUCAUUGGUUAUACCCAGACACUCAUGAGAGGGUUUUAGCCUGCUUAGCUUGUAGAAGGCUAAAUCAAAAACAUACAUAUGAUUAUCUAGCAAAAAUAAUCUUUGAAAUUUUUACCAUAAGGAUACAAAAUAAAGUGACCUAAUGCAUUAUCGAUAAUGCUCGAAAUUAUUUAAAAACCUUCAAAGUAUAUGAACAAGGAGAGGAAUCGGAUGAUGAAAUAGUUCCUCUGCCAUUAUUUGAUCUAUUUGAAGAUCAAAAUAUUAAUGAUAGUAUUGUAUACUUACCUAAGCAUCUGA